rnacentral:rRNA from 1 species
GGCCCAGAUCGUUUACCGUGAAAAAAUUAGAGUGUUCAAAGCAGGCAGAUCCAAUUUUCUGCCACCGAAUACAUUAGCAUGGGAUAAUGGAAUAGGACCCUGUCCUCCUAUUUUCAGUUGGUUUUGGCAGCGCGAGGACUAGGGUAAUGAUUAAUAGGGAUAGUUGGGGGCAUUAAUAUUUAAUUGUCAGAGGUGAAAUUCUUGGAUUUAUGAAAGAUUAACUUCUGCGAAAGCAUCUGCCAAGGAUGUUUUCAUUAAUCAAGAACGAAAGUUAGGGGAUCGAAGACGAUCAGAUACCGUCGUAGUCUUAACCAUAAACGAUGCCGACCAGCGAUUAGGAGACGUUGAAUACAAAACACCACCAUCGGCGCGGUCGUCCUUGGCGUGUCUCGGCUUCACGGCUGGGGCGCGCGAGGGCGGUUUAGCCCGGUGGCACCGGUGAAUGACUCCCCUAGCAGCUUGUGAGA